rnacentral:rRNA from 1 species
AUUGAACGCUGGCGGCAGGCCUAACACAUGCAAGUCGAGCGAGCGGCGGACGGGUGAGUAAUGUAUGUGGACUGCCCGCUCUAGGGGGAUAACUACUGGAAACGGUAGCUAAUACCGCAUCCUAUCGGAUAACCCAUAUGGGAUUAGCUAGUAGGUGAGGUAAUGGCUCACCUAGGCGACGACGCCUAGCUGGUCUGAGAGGAUGAUCAGCAACACUGGGACUGAGACACGGCCCAGACUCCUACGGAGGCAGCAGUGGGGAAUAUUGGACAAUGGGCGCAAGGCGGAUGCAGCCAUGCGGCGUGUAUGAAGAAGGCCAUAGGGUUGUAAAGUACUUUCAGUCGGGAGGCGUUACCGAAAGAAGAAGCACCGGCUAACUCCGUGCCAGCAGCCGCGGUAAUAC